rnacentral:rRNA from 1 species
AAAUUGAAGAGUUUGAUCAUGGCUCAGAUUGAACGCUGGCGGCAGGCCUAACACAUGCAAGUCGAACGGUAACAGGAAGCAGCUUGCUGCUUUGCUGACGAGUGGCGGACGGGUGAGUAAUGUCUGGGAAACUGCCUGAUGGAGGGGGAUAACUACUGGAAACGGUAGCUAAUACCGCAUAACGUCGCAAGACCAAAGAGGGGGACCUUCGGGCCUCUUGCCAUCGGAUGUGCCCAGAUGGGAUUAGCUAGUAGGUGGGGUAACGGCUCACCUAGGCGACGAUCCCUAGCUGGUCUGAGAGGAUGACCAGCCACACUGGAACUGAGACACGGUCCAGACUCCUACGGGAGGCAGCAGUGGGGAAUAUUGCACAAUGGGCGCAAGCCUGAUGCAGCCAUGCCGCGUGUAUGAAGAAGGCCUUCGGGUUGUAAAGUACUUUCAGCGGGGAGGAAGGGAGUAAAGUUAAUACCUUUGCUCAUUGACGUUACCCGCAGAAGAAGCACCGGCUAACUCCGUGCCAGCAGC